rnacentral:tRNA from 1 species
CCGACCUUAGCUCAAAUGGAAGAGUAAAAAAGGGUUUGUCUAAUACCAGACACCGUGUAAUCCUUUUUGGCUGUCGGUUCGAGUCCGACAGGUCGGU